UGGCAUGCCACGUGGACGAAGCUCCCUAAUCUUAUCCCUUUCCAAAGGACAGAGUAAACGUGUGAUGGUGGUGAAGUUUGAUACUUUUUCGUUCCUCAGCCAAUUUGUGACCAUCCCUUCUCAAGAAAUAUGGUAAGGUUUCAGUGAAGUUAAACCCUCCGUCAUUUUUUUGCGGUAAACUUUGAUAGUAACAGUGAUCAUUAACCAAGCUUUGGCUUUUCUGCAGUUGACAGUAGCAAGUUGCAGCUAUCCCUUUCACGAAAUUUUAGUGCAGUACAAGUUCCUAACUCAUUGUAAACAUCAAAGUACAUGGGGUGCCGGCUCAAACAUAAGGAAUUAACUGAGAAAUCUCAGUAAUCUGCAAAUUGAAGAAGCAAAAAUGUGAACAUGGAAAAAGAAAAUAGCUUCGCAGUGGACGUUCACUAGAUGAGAAGCUGUUUUCUUCAAGAGAGAAUGUUUUUCAUUUUGUUUCUGCUGAGCUGUAGCUUUGUCUUGUUGUAAUGAUUUUUUCCUCUCUCAUUUUUCUCGGCAGAAUUUGAAGUCAUUCAAUGAAAGCAGUGCUUUUUCUUGUAAAAGAUAAAACAAGAUUUGAGUGAUUUUCAGGUAUGGAACUUAGUGAAAGUUCAACCAUGUGAAACUGGAUGGCAUGAUUCUGCAGAAAA